rnacentral:lncRNA from 1 species
UGCACAAUUAGUCUACUGUAUUCAUGGCUACUUUUUUUUUUUUGGUCUUGAUUUGUUUUUCUCUCCUCAGAGUUAUAUUGCUAGAACAGGAGUCAGGAGCCAGGAGCAAGGGUUCUGCUGAGAUUGCUGUCCUCAGGAAGAGAGCUUCUUAGCACUUGGGUCUCUAUGUUGCAAUUUUAAUCAUACAGUACAAUGUUGCUAGCCACAGACAAUUGGAUCCCCAUUGUUAGAGUCUGUAAACAAGUCAAAAUAACACCUGGCAUCUUGCCAGAGGAAUGUUAGAGUUCAUAAACAAGUCUGGAUGGUGCCUGGCAAAAUGCCAGAGGGAGUGGUUUGAGAAGUAACAAAAGCGAGCCAUUAAGUGUGGAGAUUCCUUAUUGGUUGACUGAUGUAUCUAGUUUAUGCUAAUUAGAUAAGCUGUGUGGAAUGUAUAGAUACUGCUCCUGUCCUGCAAUAAACGGCUUCCACUCCUGCUGUAUCAAUCUACACAAGUUGUUCGUCACCUGCUGCAGCCGGACUGCGGCACCCCAUAACUGAUUCAUCUUGCAGAACUGAAAUGUUGUAUCUUUCUGCCCUCAUCUGCUGGGUUUUCCCUUCUUCCAGCCCCUAGUGACCACCAUCCGGUUUCUGUGUGACUCUUUUAGAUUCCAACUAGGUGAGGUCAUGUAGCAUUUGUAUUUCUGUGUCUGGCUUAUUUCUCUUGGCACGAUGCUCGCCAGCUCCAUCCAGGUUGCUGGAAAUGGCAGGGUUUUCUACUUUUUUAAGGCUGGAUAAUUUCAUAUUGUAUGUGCAUACCAUGAUUUCUUAUCCAGGCAUCUGUUUUAAUAAACAUUUAUCUUGUUUGUUUGUCUUGACUUGUGAAUAAUGCCGCAAUAAACAUGGGGAUGCAGAUAACACAUCAGGAUUCUGAUUUCUAUUCUUUGGGGUAUGUAGACCGAAAAGAGGCAUUGUUGGAUAUUCUGGUUCUACUUUGAGUUUUUUUGUUUUUUUUUUUUUAAUUGAAGCAUCCAG